ACGAGUUCUCGUUGAUGAUCGGUGCUUGCACCGAGAUUCAACAUGGAACGAGUGGCGGACGGGUGAGUAACACGUGGGUAACCUGCCCUUAAGUGGGGGAUAACAUUUGGAAACAGAUGCUAAUACCGCAUAGAUCCAAGAACCGCAUGGUUCUUGGCUGAAAGAUGGCGUAAGCUAUCGCUUUUGGAUGGACCCGCGGCGUAUUAGCUAGUUGGUGAGGUAAUGGCUCACCAAGGCGAUGAUACGUAGCCGAACUGAGAGGUUGAUCGGCCACAUUGGGACUGAGACACGGCCCAAACUCCUACGGGAGGCAGCAGUAGGGAAUCUUCCACAAUGGACGCAAGUCUGAUGGAGCAACGCCGCGUGAGUGAAGAAGGCUUUCGGGUCGUAAAACUCUGUUGUUGGAGAAGAAUGGUCGGCAGAGUAACUGUUGCCGGCGUGACGGUAUCCAACCAGAAAGCCACGGCUAACUACGUGCCAGCAGCCGCGGUAGUACGUAGGUGGCAAGCGUUAUCCGGAUUUAUUGGGCGUAAAGCGAGCGCAGGCGGUUUUUUAAGUCUGAUGUGAAAG
rnacentral:rRNA from 1 species